CUCAAUCAUGUUUCCAGUCCCCUUAGCCUUCUUUACUGCAGCUUCCUUCUCUGAAUCUUUGAGCUGGGAGUAGAUCCAUCUUAACCACUAUCCAUCCCAGCCAUCUCCGUAUCUUCCUUAGCUCAUGUGACUCUCCAUGAUGGUUUUCUCAGGUGUUUUAACUAAGGCUAUGCAGCUGGGCUGGAUCUGAAGGAAGCCCUGGGGUCAGCGGAACUGGGCCGACAGGAGCUGAGCUACAGGUAAGACCGAGCAAGCCCUCACUGGAGAGACAACUGCAGCAGGUGUGGGAGAACUGGCUGCCAAGUAGUGAGAAGAUAAAAGGCUGGACCCAGCAUAAGGACACAUCUGAGUACACAUGGAGACAUGUGUAUGGGGAAGUUCACCAUGCAGUGGGAAGGAAAGCAGAGGCUCUACCAAGGUCCUGACUUCAGCUGAGAGGGGAAUGAAGAGGUUUUAUACCUAUCCUUGAGCAGUCACUGAAGGCUGGCUGUAAAACAUUUUGCCAGGUGUGUUCCUGGAAGGGCUGAUGGAUGAUGAAGAGGACUUUGGCUGAUGCAGAGACAAAGGGGAGACUUCAAUGUUACAGGCUUUGCAAACUGGUUGCUCUGCAG